GAUUGUUGUGAACCAAAUGCAAAAAAUGGACAAAAGGACUUAGACUUUAGGACCUUCCCUAUGCAAAAUGGAGUCAAAGAGCAACUAGGCCUCAUGCCUUUAGAGUGCUAUAAAUGUCAAAGAGCAACUAGGCCUCAUGCCUUUAGAAUGCUUAAAGCUUGAAGAUGAACAUUGAAAGGACCAUAUUCUAAACUCCCUCUUGUCCAUUCUUUGAUUUGU
rnacentral:lncRNA from 1 species